rnacentral:rRNA from 1 species
AAUUGCUAGUAAUCGCGGAUCAGCAUGCCGCGGUGAAUACGUUCCCGGGUCUUGUACACACCGCCCGUCACACCACGAGAGUUUACAACACCCGAAGUCGGUGGGGUAACCCGCAAGGGAGCCAGCCGCCGAAGGUGGGGUAGAUGAUUGGGGUGAAGUCGUAACAAGGUAGCCGUAUCGGAAGGUGCGGCUGGAUCACCUCCUUUCUAUGGAG